rnacentral:lncRNA from 1 species
GAACUUUAAUUAUAAUAUGAACCCACAUCUAAAGAAUGAAGAAAGACAAAGUCUAUGUAAUUUUUCGUGGAAUUGAAACUGGGGUUUUUGCUCAUAUUUAGGCAAGCCUACAUAUCAGAUGACAGGCCAUCUUCUGUAACUAACAUGUUUAACCACUCUCUUUUGCUGGUUUUUUUUGCUGAUGAAAGUAUUAAUAAACCCAUUAGAGAUCUAAACUUUGAGAAAAUGGACUUUAAACUUUGAGAAAAUGGACUUAAUAUAGUCUAAAAAAAAAAGUAAAAAACAAAUUCAAAAACUUUGUUGAGAUCCAAUAAUAUAUCAAAAAUAAUAUAAAUUUAAUUAACUGACCUUCUUUCUAACUCGGUUGCCAUAGUAGCAUCAGUUGCAGUACAGAUCCAAAAAAAAGCUAGCUGCUUUUGCGGUUUCUGAUCUGGCUCUUUCAUUCUACAGUUGGGUAUUAUAGAUAUGGAAUUGGAACUUGAUAAAAGUAUUAAUAGUAGGGUUGCUUUGUGUGGAAAGAGCCUCCUGGUGCAAAAAAAGGGUUGCAAAUUUCUUCAUGGCCGUGUAAAUCUGACUUAAAUUCAAAGAUUUCCAAACAAUUCCAAAGGUCAUCAUCUUGAUCAAGAUUCAAAUGAGCAAACGAAGACGGUGGGUUAUAUUAUUCAUGAUAUUAGAAAAGGUAGCUUCACUGGUACUGCAUCCUCUAAUUAAGUCAACCACAAUAUAUAUAUAUCUAGAGAGAGAGAGAGAGAGAACAUGUAAGCAACCAUAUAAAAUCCAAACUAUUUAAUAAUGUGUAGAUAAAAAAUAUCCUCUUCGUUCUAAGGCUCGGAUUGGUCUUAAAUGGGUCUCAAAACAAUCAGCCACGCAGUUUUGCAUGCAGUCUUCCAACUCUAUUUUCUUGCCUAACAUAAAAAUCCUACAGGCUAAGAAUAAAAAAGGAAAAAGAAAAAUAUUUAGGAGGUCUAAAAGAUGUCCACUCUCAUCUCCUCCUGACAGAUUCGCUUGCAAAAGUGCAUCCUCUCUAGAGCUCAUCCUGCAAACACAAACAAAAACAGUCCAUAAGCGCACUAGUGUAGAAAGUUUAUUUCUAUUAUGAUGUUGAUAAAGGAAGAACACCUACAUGUACGUCAUCCUUGGUGUCAGCACUGUCGUCUUCUUUUACUUCACUGUCUUCUUCUCCUUCGGUAUCUUCAGACUCAUCCUCAUCUUCAUCAGCCUGAAAAAGACCACAAAUUCAGUUAUGGCCAGAUCGAGUAAAUGUGAAAAGACAGAAAAAAACAAGGCUUUAGCAAGUAAUUUGGAGGCCUACAUCAGUAUCAGCUGGGUCUUCCUUUUCCUGAAAGAGUCAAAAACUUUGGAGUGAGUUUUUUAGUUAUACAACCCUCUGACUACUUCCACCCAAGAAAUGAAAUUUCUAGCACGUCAGAAAAAAAAAGGUACCUCUUCUUCUCUCUUCUUCUCGGCCUCUUCAAAAGCUGCCUUCUCAGCCUGCAAAAUACACAUACUCGGUCAAUAUCUUGUAGAAAAUCUCUUCUGAAAAUUGAACUUAGUCAAGAAAAAAGAAACAUACAUCCUUCUGCUUUCCCCAAGUAUCUUCAGCAAGCUUCUUUGCAUACUCAGGGUCAUCGCAAAGCAAGACAUUUUUAAACAAUGUUCCAGAUUUCACCUGACACAUAAAUAAUCUUGGUUUGUUAGAUUCCAAGCUGUGAAUACAAUCUAAUGGAGUAAAUAUGAUAAGACAAACAUAAUUGUAGACUUGCAGUGCCUUAGUAAAAGACUUUAAACUAGUUAAUAUAAAUUAAGGAUAAUAUAAGUUAAUUAAAGAUAAAGAUAAGGAUAAUAUAAAUUAAUUAAGGAUAUAAUUGUCAAAAAUAUUCUAAUCAAAAAAUGGAAACAGCACAUUUGAUGGAUUAACGUGUCUUAUCUACUGACAGCUAUUUUAUAUGUUAAGGAUAUAAUUUAAAAAAAUAGAGUCUUAACCCCCAAAAUAUUUUCACCCGACAAAGUCUCUAUCUUCUUCAACAAACACCGUUGAAGGGAGGAAGAACUUUAAUUAUAAUAUGAACCCACAUCUAAAGAAUGAAGAAAGACAAAGUCUAUGUAAUUUUUCGUGGAAUUGAAACUGGGGUUUUUGCUCAUAUUUAGGCAAGCCUACAUAUCAGAUGACAGGCCAUCUUCUGUAACUAACAUGUUUAACCACUCUCUUUUGCUGGUUUUUUUUGCUGAUGAAAGUAUUAAUAAACCCAUUAGAGAUCUAAACUUUGAGAAAAUGGACUUUAAACUUUGAGAAAAUGGACUUAAUAUAGUCUAAAAAAAAAAGUAAAAAACAAAUUCAAAAACUUUGUUGAGAUCCAAUAAUAUAUCAAAAAUAAUAUAAAUUUAAUUAACUGACCUUCUUUCUAACUCGGUUGCCAUAGUAGCAUCAGUUGCAGUACAGAUCCAAAAAAAAGCUAGCUGCUUUUGCGGUUUCUGAUCUGGCUCUUUCAUUCUACAGUUGGGUAUUAUAGAUAUGGAAUUGGAACUUGAUAAAAGUAUUAAUAGUAGGGUUGCUUUGUGUGGAAAGAGCCUCCUGGUGCAAAAAAAGGGUUGCAAAUUUCUUCAUGGCCGUGUAAAUCUGACUUAAAUUCAAAGAUUUCCAAACAAUUCCAAAGGUCAUCAUCUUGAUCAAGAUUCAAAUGAGCAAACGAAGACGGUGGGUUAUAUUAUUCAUGAUAUUAGAAAAGGUAGCUUCACUGGUACUGCAUCCUCUAAUUAAGUCAACCACAAUAUAUAUAUAUCUAGAGAGAGAGAGAGAGAGAACAUGUAAGCAACCAUAUAAAAUCCAAACUAUUUAAUAAUGUGUAGAUAAAAAAUAUCCUCUUCGUUCUAAGGCUCGGAUUGGUCUUAAAUGGGUCUCAAAACAAUCAGCCACGCAGUUUUGCAUGCAGUCUUCCAACUCUAUUUUCUUGCCUAACAUAAAAAUCCUACAGGCUAAGAAUAAAAAAGGAAAAAGAAAAAUAUUUAGGAGGUCUAAAAGAUGUCCACUCUCAUCUCCUCCUGACAGAUUCGCUUGCAAAAGUGCAUCCUCUCUAGAGCUCAUCCUGCAAACACAAACAAAAACAGUCCAUAAGCGCACUAGUGUAGAAAGUUUAUUUCUAUUAUGAUGUUGAUAAAGGAAG